CAGCAGCCACGGUAAUACGGAGGGGGCUAGCGUUGUUCGGAAUUACUGGGCGUAAAGCGCACGUAGGCGGCUUUGUAAGUUAGAGGUGAAAGCCCGGAGCUCAACUCCGGAAUUGCCUUUAAGACUGCAGAGCUAGCAGGUGAGAGAGAUGAGUGGAAUUCCGAGUGUAGAGGUGAAAUUCGUAGAUAUUCGGAAGAACACCAGUGGCGAAGGCGGCUCACUGGCUCAUACUGGACGCUGAGGUGCGAAAGCGUGGGGAGCAAACAGGAUUAGAUACCCCAGUAGUCCCUGUCUCUAUACA
rnacentral:rRNA from 1 species